UCCAAAGGCCACCUCUAGCCCCACGGCACCAGGGACCAGGCCUUCCACACAGGAGCCUCUGGGGACCGUCCAGAUCCAAACCCUAGCAGCCGAGGUGGCCGCAGUGACCAUGGGCAGAGCAGACGGGCAGCGCUAUGAAGGGCGCGGUGAGCCAGAGGGCCGCGGGUUGGUGCUGUGAGGGACAGUGAGGGCUGUGUGCCGGGCUCCCGGGGACACGGAGUGGUGUGAAGGGUCCCAGUGGCACCGACAGCCUGGCCACGGCUUGGUGCUGGUGGUGCUGCUGCCCAGGGUCAUUGAUGGGCAGCGUCCUGGUCAUGACGUAAGGAAGGUGAGCCAGCGGUGACCACGGGGACCAUGGUGAGCAGGAGGUUAUAAAGGACGGGGUGGGGGUGCAGCGAUGACCACAGU
rnacentral:lncRNA from 1 species